CAAAGAUUAAGCCAUGCAUGUCUCAGUGCAAGCCAAAUUAAGGUGAAACCGCGAAAGGCUCAUUAAAUCAGUUAUGGUUCCUUUGAUGGUACAAACAGUUACUUGGAUAACUGUGGCAAUUCUAGAGCUAAUACAUGCAAACAGAGUCCCGACCACUUGUUGGAAGGGAUGCUUUUAUUAGAUCAAAACCAAUCAGGCUUAACGGCCUGUUGCUCUUGGUGACUCUGAAUAACUUUGGGCUGAUCGCAUGGUCACGUACCGGCGACGCAUCUUUCAAAUGUCUGACUUAUCAACUUUCGAUGGUAGGCUCUGCGCCUACUAUGGUUGUAACGGGUAACGGGGAAUCAGGGUUCGAUUCCGGAGAGGGAGCCUGAGAAACGGCUACCACAUCCAAGGAAGGCAGCAGGCGCGCAAAUUAUCCACUCCUAGAACAGGGAGAUAGUGACGAAAAAUAACGAUGCAGAACUCAUUCCGAGGCUCUGCAAUCGGAAUGAGUACACUCUAAACCAUUUAACGAGUAUCCAUUGGAGGGCAAGUCUGGUGCC
rnacentral:rRNA from 1 species